AAGGCCAGCCCUUUUAUUCGUCUUCGACGUAGAGUCGGGCCACCGACCCUAACACAAACCCUAGACGGCCAUCAGUCGCACGCAGAAAGAUGUCGCACUUUGGAAGAUCAGGUCCUCCGGACAUCAGAGACACCUACUCUCUCCUCGUCCUCAACAUUACUUUCCGAACCUCAGCGGAUGAUUUGUUUCCCCUUUUCGACAAGUAUGGGAAGGUCGUCGAUGUCUUCAUCCCCAGAGACCGAAGAACUGGUGAAUCGCGAGGCUUUGCAUUUGUUCGGUAUAAGUAUGCGGACGAAGCCCGGAAGGCGGUGGAAAAGCUUGAUGGACGAACUGUUGAUGGCAGAGAGAUAAUGGUUCAAUUCGCAAAGUACGGACCGAAUGCCGAACGAAUUCAAAGCGGGAGGAUAGUUGAGAAAGUGUCAAAGUCAAGAGGAAGGUCAAGGAGCCACAGUCCUCGGCCAAGCAAUUUUAGGUAUAGGGAUGAAUAUCGGGACAGGGAUUACAGGAGGAGAAGUCGCAGUAGAAGUAGGGGUAGAUAUGAUCGUGACCGGUAUAGGGGAAGGGAAAGAGAUUAUCGUCAUCGAAGCAGGAGCCGCAGUGGAAGUCUUGAUUACCGGAAAGACCACAGAAAAGGCAGAUAUGAUGAUGAAAGGCGUAGUGGGAGUCGGUCUUAUGGAAGUGCUUCCCCUGCUCGGCGUACCCCCAGUCCUAAGAGGAGCCCAUCUCCACGCAGGAACCCUCCUAGGGGUGGAAGUUAUGGUGGACGUGAUCAUGAAGAACGGUCCCCUACUCCAGCCAGUAUGUCACCUCGUGAUCGGCCUGCUGAUUCAUGGAGCCCAUCUCCACAAAAUUCUGAUGCUGAUGAGUAAGGGAGCCCCAGUUUAUGUGAUGGAUAUAUGGCCUAUGUUUGGCAGUGUACCUUCUGAUGAGAGCAUUUUCAGAUUUAUAAUGUCUCUAUCAAUAUACUGAAUGCUAGAAUUGAUUGCUUCAGGCGUAUUUUAAGUUGCGUCUGGGAAGAGUAAGUUUGGCUGACUGGUGAGAUGAUGUAGUUGCUGUUGGUGCUGUCUUUACUUCGCUGUUGGUUGAUAUCAUUUUCUUGCUGGUUGCAAAUUACAGUGUCUUUUACAAAUUUUCUUUGAUGUCAUUAUUGAAAGGAGUCUUAGUAGCUGUGAUGACCUAAAAGAUGGUUGAAGUUCACAUGGGCUUUACCCGUAGCUGUGCAGUUAACUGCAGGACCGGUUGUACAGUUAGCCCGUUCUAAUUGGAAACCCGCUAUGCAUGGCUGGACAUUGUUACCAUGAGGAUGGACAUGGUGACAGAUACGUGACAUUCUUAUAUGUCUGAUGUUUUGGUUAGAUUUCUCUUCAUCUAUUGACUGGAUUUUGGGGGGUUUAACAUUUCUUGCAGCAUAUUCUGAGACAUUUUAGUACAUGCACUUGUGAAUAUAGCUUUAAGCUGAUACCAAAUGCAUACUGUUACAGCACAUGAGAUCAUGGCUGUAGCUGUCAAUGUUUGUUGCUGCAAGUGUGGGUUUUUUUUUUUUUCAAUUUCAUUGGGGGCAAUAUUAAAAUUUCAUGGUAUAUAAUUCAAAAGAAGAAAAAAUUACUAGUGUAUAAUACUAAAAAAAUAAAAAGAAAAAAGAAUAUUCAGUGGUGACAAUUGCCCCCAUGGAACAUUAUACAGGUCUGUGCCUGGAUGCUUGGUUUGGUAUCUGUGUUUCAGCUUGCUAGUUGCUACACUAGAUCUUUGAUUUCGUUUUUUGGCCUUCUAGUUAUAUCUUUCAGAGGUUGAGUUGCAAUUUUGAUUUAUCAUAAGUUGCAUUUCCUUUUAAUGUAUUUGCAGUUAUUGCUCCCUUCCCCUGUCUGUCUUUUUUCUCGAGGUUGAAUUGCAUUACGUUGAUUUAUGAUUUUAAUUGCAUCAUGUUUGGACUUUCAUCAUUGCAAUUCCACCUAUCUAUGUGUAUGCCUUACAGUUUUGGUGUAAAAUUUUCCAUUCAUGCUAUUGACUGAUAUAUGUUAAUGUUAAGAUUAGGUUCAUAGUUUUCCUUUUUAUGUCUCAAAGUGAAAAUCUUGAAGUCUUUUUGGUACCCAUGCCUGGUACUCAACGACAAAAUUCUCUUCUUACCGUCAACAAUUGAUGAGGGGCAAGGGCGGAUGGUGAUAGAUGAUGGUUAUAGGUGUGGAACUUUAGUCUUGUUGUAAUUUGUAUUGUAGAAGAAGUUGUAACAUCGGUGUUAGUGCCUAAUGUACUUAAAAUUUGAGAAAAUAGGAUUGACCUGUUAAUUAUAUUACACGUCAUGUGUUUGAACAUUGUUAUGAUGCGUUACAUGGAUUCUCCUGUUAUGAUAUGUGUUACAUGGACUUUCCUGUUCUUCUCAAAUGCAUUUGUGUUGACGAGACAUGAGUAUGGGUAUGGAAUAUGUGUCCAACAGACAAAUCUAAUGAACAAGGUAUUGGUAUGGGAUAUGUCUCACGCACAAAUUCAUAUCGGAUACCUUGAUCCUUUACAUGUGAUAAGGUAAGAAGAAGAAAAUGCUCAAAUUUGAUGUUAUAAAUGGGUUUUCCACUUAUGAGAUUAGAUAAAAUUUUCUUUUCACCAUCUCAUUUGAUUUAAAUUCAUGUAACAUAGAUUCAAAUUCUUCUUGGGAAAUACUGAAGAAAUUGGCUGAUCUUAGGCGUCCUUGUCAGAAAUGAAGGCUAUAUUUAUAUGAUCAUAUAUGUAAUCUGGAGAGUAGCUAACACUCCAUGCAUCUGGUUUUCUUGCUUUGAACUAGCAAGUGUUGGCAUUACACUCUUGUGGCUCACAGGUAGUUAUGGUAUCCUUUGGAUGUUGGCUACUUUUUUCUUUUUUUUUUUUCCCCCCGAAUUAAUAUAUAAUAUCCUUAUCUAUCACAAAUUCAAAAAACUCUAGCAAACCACCAGGUUUCUGUCUUCUCAGCUACUUUCUUCGUCUGCCAACCUACUAUUGUUGUGACAAAUUAUUGCAAUUUGAUUGGAUUUGAGACCCAACUCGACGAUCAACCAACAUGACCAACCCGAGUAUGGUCAUGCUUGGGCUAGUCUCCCUAACCCACGGUCGGGUUGAUCCCUGGCUUGGGAAUGCCCGUAGUGUGGGUUGAGCUAGGGUUGACUUCUCAGCCCACCCAACGGUCCCAACCUACCUGAGUUGCACCCUAGUGGUUAUUUUUUAUUUUUAUUAUUAUUUUUUUAUGUCUGUCUGUCUCUGUUUCGUCGGUGUGAGGAUGGGGGAAGUUGGAUCAGUAUUUACUUGUGGCUGGGUUGGAGGUUUCUGUGUUAGAUGUUUUUUGAAGAUAAGGUCGGUGCAUGCUUGUAAAGUUAUGGUUGCAAUACAAGUGGUUGUAGUCCUAAAGCAGGGAAGAUGUAGUCCACUUUAGAGUAGACAGUAUCUAUUUCUCUCGUCUAUUUAAGAGUGUAUUAUAUACCAUUGACAUGCCCAACAACAGAUCAAUUAGAAACACUCGUUUGGAUUCUAAAUUUGAGUGUCAUGUCUCUGACCUUGGAUGGAUGGGUUUUUUUGUAGGCCUAAUUCAUCUAAUUAAACAUUCAACAUCUGUGUCUGUCCAUUUUUUUUUCUCGGGUUGUACGAGCUCGGCCUUGACUGACUCAGGUCCGCUCAGAUUGGUGUAUAUCUAGGAACUCUUUUAAGCUUUCGCUGCUGUCAUGUUAAGCUAGAUUGGCUGUCUGAUUGCCCUCUUUAGGGAUGCUUAAAAAUCCUUUGUUCAGAACUAUCUUUCAAAGCUUGCUUAUACAACUACAUUAGAGCAUGAGAAAUGUGAUGGUUAUGGCUUUGGUGGGCUGAGAAGCGAGUGGGUUGGCAGCGAAGGCCAAUGUGUAUACCUCCAAUCUUGUCAUGAUCUUCAUCACCUUGUCAUGAUGUGUAACUUAGGGUGAUUAUUUAUUUAUUUAUUAUUAUCGAGUGUUUUGGCUACUUAUUUGAUUGAAUUUUAAGUUGUUUUAAGAAAUGUGUUAGCAUAUCAAAUUUGAUGGGUCUGAAUUCUCGAGAUU